CUGGUAAAAUAUUUGGGCCCAAUACGGCCAGGUUAAAUGCUAAAAGGUUAAAAUAAAUAGAAAACUAAAAGGUAUACAAAUAUUUCAAAAUAAAACUCUUUCCACAGACAUAAAACAGAAGUUAUAGAAAGCUGCUGUGAAAUCAGUGUAUUACUGGUUUUGAUCUUUUGACCCCAAAGUAGUUGAAAGCAUACAUAACUCUCAACAGAAUAUUAAUUUUGAGCCACAGAACAUCAUACGAGUGGCAGUUAAACUUCUACACUAUUUCUCAAUCCACCUGCUACCCAAAUAUUAAAACACCUGAUCAUAAAUUGUUACCUGGCCCUUGAAGUGAAAACAUUCAAACACUACCAAUUAACGUAUAUGUUUUUUGGGUGUUUUUUUUUUGUUCGUUUUUGCUUGUGGAGUUGCAACUGGAAGACUAAAAUUUUAAAAGCCAAAUAUGAGUUCAGUAUGGUCUCUUAAAAAUUUUCCUCAUAUUUUAUUAUCAGGCCAUUUGAUUUUUUUUUUAUGUCAGAUUCUAGCUGUGUUAGUAACAUAAAUAUUGAGUAAACAGGCUUCUUUCUUGAAAUACAAGUUAUUAUACUACAGCAAAAAUUUUGGUCAUCUGUAAAAUAUAUUACUGGAGGGAGGAAGAGAGAGAAUGUGUUUGCACGUGCUCUAAGUAUUUAUGUAAUGGUUCUUUUCUUUUAUUUUGUUGUUUUUCUUUGUAACCUCAAAUCUUUAUGCUAUAGAUUAUCUUAGCUUGUGUCUGUUUCAACUAUAAUGACAUCUGUAGAAAGUUUCAUCAUGUCACCUAAAAGAAUAAAAAUUCAGUUUUCAUUAAUAUUGUUGAAAUUUAAGCAAAAAAAAAGUUUUUCAAUAAAACUUAUUCAAAUAAUAUGAAUUCAUGAAUAAUUAUUGACAUCAAUGAAGAAAAAAAAUCCUUAAUUACAAAUAAAUAUUGUUUUUAAUGGAUUGUAUACAAUAUCUUUUCCACUAAAAGUCAUGUUUAUAUACCACACCUUGCUUUCAAACAAGACACAUUAAAAGAUUCAAUUACCUUAUCUAUUUCAAAGAGCAGCAGAAAUGAGUUAAGCUCCUACCUUACUGAAUCUAUGAUGCAGUUUCAAUUCAGAUGGUAUUUUCUUUUCAUUGUUAAUCAUUUUUUUUCUCCUCAAAGUAUUUUUCACAUAAUAUCUUUAUGAUGUAAUUUCCUUCUCCCUCACCUAUGAAUUCUUGGUCUCAUAUCUUAUUUCUUUGUAAUAAAUCAAGCUUUGAUCUUUUAUUAGGAGGCUUAUUGCUUUUUUGUGGGAUUAUAAUUAUUAUUAUUGCUUCAUUUACUACUCAACAUAAUCCACUAACUGGGCAUUCUUUACUAUAAAUUUCUCAUUAUUAUAUUAAUAUAAUUAUCAAAGAUGAAGAGUGGUAAAAUCAGUAGAAUACAGAAAGUGUCCUUUACUGUAUUUGGUUAUGUUCCUUUUACAUUAUGAAUUCAAAGUGCACUGAAGCCAACUUGUCUUUUAUCUGAUUAUGAAGUCUUUGAAAUAAGUAUUAGCAAAGUACUAAGGUUGAAAUCAUCAACACUACUCUCUCUCUCUCUCUCUCUCUCUCUCUCUCUCUCUCUCUCUCUCUCUCUCUCUCUAAAUGCGUAGUUGUAUGCCAAUAUUAGAAAUUAAUAUUUUUAUGAAACAGGCACCAUGUGACAGAUUUAUGAACCUAUAAUCUAAUUUUGGUACUUCGUUGUACCUUAAACUAUUAAGGAAAGACUCUUCCUACCUGCUAUAGUAAUUAGGAAAUUUUUCCCUAAAAUGUACUUUACCAUUUAAGAGGUAGAUAGAAUAAAAUGGUGGUAUUAAGCAAACCACUUAGAAAUAGCACAGUGUUCUAAAGCAGUGCUCCACAACCUUUUUUCACUUCUGGUACACUUAUAUUCUUUUCAAAAUUCGGUGACACACCCUGAACUAAAUAUAUAACUUAAACGUAUAGGGAAAAAAUUAUAUUCAGGUUAUACUCUCGCCCACCUAGCAUCGUCUCAUGGCAUACCAGUUGUGGGGCACUGUUCAAGAGAAUUAAUACAAGAGAGAGAGCUUUCACUUUAUUCAUGUCAUGUUUCUAAUAUCAUUACAGAAGUGCAUAAAUUUCCCAUCAUGCUCUCAGUCGAUAUUGUUGAUACAUCCCCUUGAUGUAAUGCAGAUUCAUCAACUCAUUUUUAUCCCUGCUUCCUCAGUCCUGUCUUUAAAUCUUCUUUGGUAGCAAUUUUCCAAGUAGUAAGUUCAUUGCCAUGAGAGUAGAAAAGACAAAGAAUCCACCCUCAAAGUCUCAACUAAAUUCCACUUUCAUUUAUCAUUAAGAGAAAGUGGGACCUACUUUCUUUGUUAAAUCAUUAAUUUUCUUCUUUUCCACCAUUUAAUUGGCUAUGUAUCUAGCAUUUUUUUUUUAAUGGUCUCUAUUACCAAAGCACUUAUUUGUAGUUACCCACUCCACCAUUAAUAAAAUAGGGAACAUAAACUAAUUUUACAUUUGUUUGAACUGUUCUUUUAUGUUCUUGUGUAACUGAUUGACUUUAAUUCUUUUGAUUAUUACCCUUGUAAUAUUUCAAAAAGUUCUAUUCAUCUUUCUGUGUGAAAUAAAAGAAAGUCUGGUGUUUGUGGGUGGGUGCGGUCUGUGUGUCUGUCUAAUUAAUGUACGAAUGUAAACUUUGUGGAAUAUUUACAUAAGUAUGUUGUUUCUUUAGCUAAAUUUCUACUUCUAGACACAAACCAAACAAACUUUGAACAAAGAUUGUAUACAUUAGUAAACUCUGUUAAUAUAAACUACAAAUUAUAUUGGCAAAAGAAAAUAAACUGACUAAUUAACUCAAAGCUGCAACAGUAGUAGUUGGCUUUGUUGGUAGUUCUGAUCAACUCAAGCAAACCACAAACAAUUGUUUCAUCAUAAACAAUUGAUGUAUAACUGACUGCAUAAAGCUUAGGUUUCCAAAUUGAGGAUUAUGCUGACUUUUUUUGACUGAGGUAUAGGACAAGUGGAUAAAUUACACAGGCAAAAUGAUAUUUAGUUGAAAUACUUCAACAGAUAUUGAAAACCUAAAAUGCAAACUGGGUCUCGAGAAAUCUUUUAUAAAAAGAAAAAGUUCAUAUACAAGCUUGACUCUUAAUUCCAAAAGCUCUUGUAUAAUUUCUUUCUUUACAAAUGUGUCAUUUUAAAUGUACUUCUUAAAAUAUUCUCUACCUUUUACUUAAAAUUCUUCUACUUUUCUUUCAUCCCACCCAGAAAAAAAAAAAUCUAACCACUAACACCAAAUUCUUCUCAAAAAA